CAAUGGAUUAGUACGCAGUUACUACAGCGCCAUAUAUUUGGUUGACAAUUCUUCCAGAGUCCAGUUAUGAUUGAGCAGUUACUCGGGAAGUAGUGUUCCGUUCGUUCUACACAUUUUGAAAAAGUGCUUGACAAUCGGUAGUUAGUGAAAGUUUUUCAUCAUUGGAAAUUUCGUGAAUUCCGUAACUUGGAGGAUUUUCCAUCAGCACUGAUUCAUACUUGACAGCAGUCGAAGUUCUCCGCGAUACAGUUCAACUUUCAACUACUAUCCCUACGUUGUGCUGAAAAAUUCGUGUAAGACUUUCGAUCAGUCAUCACUGUGCCUAGUUCAUUGCAGUACUUAUUCAACUUCCAACCACGAAGGGCAGGCAUUGCAUGGCAUCGCACAAUUCGUUUACAGCAUCUCCGACGUUGGAAGAUAUGCGACCUGUAACAUAAAUAACAAAUAUACAAUUAAUCAACUGAUUACAUAACUUACCUAAUGUAUGACUUAUUUUAUGAUCAGCAUAUAAGUAUAAGACGUUUGAAUUAUAAAGAAAUUGUACCAAGUUAUAUGAUAAUAAAUUAUUGUCUUGCCUUAUUGGCGUGUCUGAUGAAUUUUAUUGUGGGGGGUGUAUGCAUCUACCGAGUCUAUUGGGUAAUGCUGGGUGAUCUGAUUUUAUGAGGAGGAUUUUGAAAAUAUUUUCCAAGGGGGUACAAUUCAUAUACUCAGACUCUGAAUGUUGGAUUCUACUUGGGACUCUCGAAUGGAAUAAAUUAAAUGAA